GACGAACCGUGCGAACGUUGUUCGGAAUCACUGGGCUUAAAGGGCGCGUAGGCGGUCACGCACGUCCGUUGUGAAAUCGCUCGGCUCAACUGGGCGGGUCAGCGGAUACGGCGUGGCUGGAGCAAGCUAGGGGGCAAUGGAAUUCCGGUGUAGUGGUGGAAUGCGUAGAUAUCGGGAGGAACACCAGUGGCGAAGGCGGUUGCCUGGAGCUUUGCGUGACGCUGAUGCGCGAAAGCGUGGGGAGCGAGUCGG
rnacentral:rRNA from 1 species